ACUUCUAUUUUUACUCUUUUUCCUGCUUUCCUACUUCUUCAUGCUUUCUUCUUCUUCACUGGAUUUUCCCUAUUCUUAGUUUUGAUGUUUUUUUCCUUUUGGUUCUUGGAAAAUUGCAAGCUCCAGUCCAUGGUUCAUUUUCUAUGUUUAUUAUUGGCUGGUGCGUGUAAGUAAUUUUUUUUAUUUUAAUGAUAAUUUGAGAUUUUAAUGUAAGAUUUGAAAUUGUAUUUUAUGAAUUCAAUUUGACCAAACAACUGAAAGGCACAUAGGGUUUUCUGGAGUGCAAGAAAAAAUAGGUGAAGGCUGCAAAGAAUCUGCUUCAUAGUGAUAUGUGGGUGGCUCAUAUAAAGAGACUGUACUAAAUUCCGCCUACCAACAGAACAUGACAGAUAAAAACGACAACUGUUGUUAUAGGCUUCUCACCUCAAGAACCAUCUCCACAAUCAACAACGGAAACUUAAAUGGAAAUCAUUUGUAGUUGCAGGUAAUUUGAGAGUUCAAAAGGAAAAUGAUUUGAGAUGGUCGAAUAUGGACUUCCACCAAUUUCUCAAGUGCAAUGAUUAGAAAAGUUUUGUUACCUUAACAGUUUCCCAGUACUCUUUGCUAAAUACCUUAGCUAGACUCAAAUCAAACUAUCCAACCCAAGAGGUGCUACCAGCAGCUGGCUGGGAAGGAAUUCAGUGGCGAAGCUACACAUUGGUAAGGGUGGUCAACUGUCUACCCUUUGUCGUGAAAUUACAUUACGUAUAUAGGUAAAAUAUCAUGUUUUAGAGGUAUAUUACAUAUAUUGAACACUCUUUAUCGGGAUUUUUUUUUUUACUUAUUUCAAAUUUAAACACCCUUGAGGAAAUUUCUGAUUUCACCACUAGGAAGGAUGAUGAGAAAGAAACAUAAGCCAUUUGGAACACUGUAGCUGUCUGCCUGGACAUUCUUGAAGGAAUAACAACGGAUUGCCGAACCGUCAAUAUGAAAUUGUUGUAUAUUGCUGCAUCUAUUGUUUUGCUACGUUUUGUAUCUUUUGUAACUCAAAAGAUGUAGCAGCAUCUACUUGGUGUUAAUUAAGCAUUGAUUACGUAUUGAAAAAAUAUUUUGAAAUUUGUUGUAGUGUUGGGCCCGUGCUCCGCACAGGCUGCAGGCAACUAGUAGUAUAGAUAUGUUAGAAGAUAACCUCAUCGAACAAGAUUACUACUCCA